UUCGAUUCUGGCUCAGGAUGAACGCUAGCGACAGGCUUAACACAUGCAAGUCGAGGGGCAGCAUAAAAGUAGCAAUACUUGGUGGCGACCGGCGCACGGGUGAGUAACGCGUAUGCAACCUACCUAUCAGGAGGGGAAUAACCCGGCGAAAGUCGGACUAAUACCGCAUAAAACAGGGGCACCGCAUGGUGAUAUUUGUUAAAGAGAUUCGCUGAUAGAUGGGCAUGCGUUCCAUUAGGUAGUUGGUGAGGUAACGGCUCACCAAGCCGACGAUGGAUGGGGGAACUGAGAGGUUGGUCCCCCACACUGGUACUGAGACACGGACCAGACUCCUACGGGAGGCAGCAGUGAGGAAUAUUGGUCAAUGGGCGGGAGCCUGAACCAGCCAAGUCGCGUGAAGGAAGAAGGAUCUAUGGUUCGUAAACUUCUUUUGCAGGGGAAUAAAGUGCAGGACGUGUCCUGUUUUGUAUGUACCCUGAGAAUAAGGAUCGGCUAACUCCGUGCCAGCAGCGGC
rnacentral:rRNA from 1 species